rnacentral:rRNA from 1 species
GAUGAACGCUGGCGGCGUGCUUAACACAUGCGAGUCGAACGGAAAGGCCCAAGCUUGCUUGGGUACUCGAGUGGCGAACGGGUGAGUAACACGUGGGUGAUCUGCCCUGCACUUCGGGAUAAGCCUGGGAAACUGGGUCUAAUACCGGAUAGGACGAUGGUUUGGAUGCCAUUGUGGAAAGUUUUUUCGGUGUGGGAUGAGCUCGCGGCCUAUCAGCUUGUUGGUGGAGUAAUGGCCUACCAAGGCGUCGACGGGUAGCCGGCCUGAGAGGGUGUACGGCCACAUUGGGACUGAGAUACGGCCCAGACUCCUACGGGAGGCAGCAGUGGGGAAUAUUGCACAAUGGGCGCAAGCCUGAUGCAGCGACGCCGCGUGGGGGAUGACGGCCUUCGGGUUGUAAACUCCUUUCGCUAGGGACGAAGCGUUUUUGUGACGGUACCUGGAGAAGAAGCACCGGCUAACUACGUG